GAACGUUGUGCACCCAUCUAUUUAUUAAGAACUACGACGGGCGGGUGAGCUCGGUGUGGUAGGCCAAAGUUGCAAUUAAAAAUGUACGAUGCUCAGGCCUAAGCCUGCCAGGAAUCUAGGUUGGAAUAUUCAGUUUUACACAUUAGUUACAUGUGUGCAUGAUGGGUGUCACGGGAUAAGCUCGACGUGUGCAUGUGUACAUUUCGCUGGACUGUCUAGCAUACAACACAAGACAUUCCUG
rnacentral:lncRNA from 1 species